AUACGGAGGAUCCGAGCGUUAUCCGGAUUUAUUGGGUUUAAAGGGUGCGCAGGCGGGAGAUUAAGUCGGCGGUGAAAUUUUGCAGCUCAACUGGUAAAGGGCCUUCAAAACUGGUUUCCUUGAGGGUAGAUGGAGUAGGCGGAAUUUGUGGUGUAGCGGUGAAAUGCAUAGAUAUCACGAGGAACUCCGAUUGCGCAGGCAGCUUACUAAACUACUACUGACGCUCAGGCACGAAGGCGUGGGGAUCAAACAGGAUUAGAUACCCUGGUAGUCCACGCAGUAAACGAUGAUUACUAGCUGUUUGCGAUACAAUGUAAGCGGCUGAGCGAAAGCGUUAAGUAAUCCACCUGGGGAGUACGUUCGCAAGAAUGAAACUCAAAUGAAUUGACGGGG
rnacentral:rRNA from 1 species